UAGUGACAAGAAAUAACAAUACAAGGCAGUUAAAAUGCUUUGUAAUUGGAAUGAUAGAAAUUUAAACCCUUUUUAAAGUAUCAAUUGGAGGGCAAGUCUGGUGCCAGCAGCCGCGGUAAUUCCAGCUCCAAUAGCGUAUAUUAAAAUUGUUGCAGUUAAAAAGCUCGUAGUUGAAGUUCUGCUAAAAGUAACCGGUCUGCUUUUAAUAAAGGUGGUAUCUUGGUGUGUAUUUAGCAAUGAUGUCCUUUGAAGUGUUUUUUACUUUAUUGUAAUAAAGCAUAUUCAGGACUUUUACUUUGAGAAAAUUAGAGUGUUUCUAGCAGGCUAACGCUUUGAAUACUGCAGCAUGGAAUAAUAAGAUAGGAUUUUAGUUCUACAUUAUUGGUUUUAAGAGCUAAAUUAAUGAUUGAU
rnacentral:rRNA from 1 species